rnacentral:piRNA from 1 species
UUGGAAAGUGACUUCUCAUAGGUUCGCAGU